AUCCUUUCAUAGUUCAUAAGUGUGAUGAUUGGGUAUUCACACUCUUGUGUGAAAUGUGCCUCCUUCAAACCUUGUUAUGACACUGGUACAUUACCCAGUAGGAUA